GACGAACGCUGGCGGCGUGCUUAACACAUGCAAGUCGAACGGACAGGUCCUGCUUUUGUGCGCAGCUCGAGUGGACAACUGGUGAGUAACACGUGAGUUAGCUGCCCUUGACUCUGGGAUAUCUUCAGGACACUGGGGCUAAUACCGGCUAGGAGUUCCUGCUGCAUGGUGGGGGUUGGUAAGUUUCGGCGGUUGGGGAUGGACUCGCGGCGUAUCAGCUUGUUGGUGGGGUAGUGGCUUACCAAGGCCUUGAAGGGUAGCCGGGCUGAGAGGGGGACAGGCCACAUUGGGAUGGGGAUACGGCCCAGACUCCUACGGGAGGCAGCAGUGGGGUAUAUUGCACUAUGGGCUGAAGCAUGGUGCAGCAACGCCGCGUGCGGGAUGACGGCCUGCGGGUUGUAAACCGAUGUCGCCUGUGACGAAACGUGAGUGACGGUAAUGGGUAAAGAAGCACCGGCUAACUACGUG
rnacentral:rRNA from 1 species